rnacentral:rRNA from 1 species
CCCUUAGAUGUUCUGGGCCGCACACGCGCUACACUGAAGGAGGCAGCGUGUACUCCUGGAUCGAAAGAUUUGGGUAACCCGCGAAUCUCCUUCGUGCUAGGGAUUGAGGUUUGCAAUUAUCCUACAUGAACGAGGAAUUCCCAGUAAGUGCAAGUCAUAAGCUUGCGCUGACUACGUCCCUGCCCUUUGUACACACCGCCCGUCGCUACUACCGAUUGAAUGAUUUAGUGAGGACUUCGGACUGGGACCGAUGCGGCUUUCGGGCUGCGUCGGUAUUCUGGAAAGAUGUCCAAACUGUAUCAUUUAGAGGAAGUAAAAGUCGUAACA